rnacentral:sRNA from 1 species
AGUCAGAUACCCCUGGAAAGCACUGUGACUGCCCUGGCACAGCCUUCCCUCUGGAGGGCCACAGAGAAGGUUAGGAGGGUCCGAAAGUCUGUUUUCUUUAAUAAAUACAACUAGGGAAGGGUUGGUCAUUGGGAACUUUAAACCUUUCCUAAAGCUACUCCCUUUUUCAUCCUAAACCACCCAGUAACGGUCAAGGACCCCAGACCACGCUAUAUAAAACAGCUUUCCCCUUUACUAGUCGAAGGUCCGUGCCCCAAGACUUCCGGAAUGUGCCCAAUUUACAGAUUGUGCAGUCGUGCACAGUGCCUGAGGGUCCCCAGGGAAACUGCAGAUUGGCGAUUAGAACCCGCUGUGGCAGGACCGUGGUCCGAGGCUGGCCACAGUGACCCCACAGUCUGCUUGGCAGAUCACCCAAGGGCAGUUCGACGAGCAUUACGUGCUGUCUUCUCGGGUGCGCACUGGCCGCAGCAUCCGUGGGCUGAGCCUGCCGCCCGCCUGCACCCGGGCCGAGCGAAGGGAGGUAGAGAACGUGGCCAUCACUGCCCUGGAGGGCCUCAAGGGGGACCUGGCUGGCCGCUACUACAAGCUGUCCGAGAUGACGGAGCAGGACCAGCAGCGGCUCAUCGAUGCAUAAUUAUGAUAAGACAUUUCUCAUCUGGAUAAAUGAGGAGGAUCACACCAGGGUAAUCUCAAUGGAAAAAGGAGGCAAUAUGAAACGAGUAUUUGAGCGAUUCUGUCGUGGACUAAAAGAAGUAGAACGGUUAAUCCAAGAACGAGGCUGGGAGUUCAUGUGGAAUGAGCGCCUAGGAUACAUUUUGACCUGUCCUUCGAACCUUGGAACAGGACUACGAGCUGGUGUCCACGUUAGGAUCCCAAAGCUCAGCAAGGACCCACGCUUUUCUAAGAUCCUGGAAAACCUAAGACUCCAGAAGCGUGGCACAGGUGGUGUGGACACUGCCGCGGUCGCAGAUGUGUACGACAUUUCCAACAUAGAUAGAAUUGGUCGAUCAGAGGUUGAGCUUGUUCAGAUAGUCAUCGAUGGAGUCAAUUACCUGGUGGAUUGUGAAAAGAAGUUGGAGAGAGGCCAAGAUAUUAAGGUGCCACCCCCUCUGCCUCAGUUUGGCAAAAAGUAAACUUUCCCUUUCCCAAUUUAUAAAUAAUCUGUCUGCUGGUACGACAGACAUAAAUCUCUACUCUGAGAGUUUUUAUACACUUGGAAAAAUAUAAAAUUGUAGAUCCUGCCUAUCUUUACAAUAAAACUCUCCUUAAUA